rnacentral:rRNA from 1 species
AACGAACGCUGGCGGCAUGCCUAACACAUGCAAGUCGAACGAGACCUUCGGGUCUAGUGGCGCACGGGUGCGUACCGCGUGGGAACCUGCCCUUAGGUUCGGAAUAACUCCCCGAAAGGGGUGCUAAUACCGGUUAAUGUCUUCGGACCAAAGAUUUAUCGCCUUUGGAUGGGCCCGCGUUGGAUUAGCUAGUUGGUAGGGUAAAAGCCUACCAAGGCGACGAUCCAUAGCUGGUCUGAGAGGAUGAUCAGCCACACUGGGACUGGGACACGGCCCAGACUCCUACGGGAGGCAGCAGUGGGGAAAAUUGGAGAAUGGGCGAAAGCCUGAUCCAGCAAGGCCGCGAGGGUGAUGAAGGCGUAGGGUUGUAAAGCUCUUUUACCCGGGAUGAUAAUGACAGUACCGGGAGAAUAAGCUCCGGCUAACUCCGUG